rnacentral:rRNA from 1 species
GUGCCAGCAGCCGCGGUAAGACGAACCAAGCAAACGUUGUUCGGAAUCACUGGGCUUAAAGGGCGCGUAGGCGGUCGGCCAAGUCCGGAGUGAAAUCUUUCGGCUCAACCGGAAAAGUGCUUUGGAUACUGGUCGGCUCGAAGUAGGUAGGGGUUGCGGGAACAGCCAGUGGAGCGGUGAAAUGCGUUGAUAUUGGCUGGAACGCCGGUGGCGAAAGCGCGCAACUGGACCUCUCUUGACGCUGAGGCGCGAAAGCUAGGGUAGCGAACGGGAUUAGAUACCCUAGUAGUCC